rnacentral:tRNA from 3 species
GGACCUUUAGCUCAGUUGGUUAGAGCUGACGGCUCAUAACCGUCCGGUCGUAGGUUCGAGUCCUACAAGGUCCA